UAAGUACUUCCUCCGUUCGAAAAAACUUGUCCCUCAGACGGAUGUAUCUAGCACCAAGUGCUAGAUACAUCCAUUUGAGGGACAAACUUGGGACAAGUUUUUUCAGACGGUGGGAGUAACUA
rfam:Triticum aestivum genome assembly, contig: Triticum_aestivum_CS42_TGACv1_scaffold_423844_5BS